rnacentral:tRNA from 1 species
ACCGAAAUAGCUGUCGGGAGAGCGUUAGACUAUUAUAGAUCGAAAGCUCCCUGGUUCGAUUCCGAGAUUCGGCA